rnacentral:rRNA from 1 species
UACGUAGGGGGCAAGCGUUGUCCGGAUUUAUUGGGCGUAAAGAGCGUGUAGGCGGCCACACAGGUCUGCUGUGAAAACUCGAGGCUCAACCUCGAGCUGUCGGUGGAAACCGUGUGGCUAGAGUCCGGAAGAGGAGAGUGGAAUUCCCGGUGUAGCGGUGAAAUGCGCAGAUAUCGGGAAGAACACCCGUGGCGAAGGCGGCUCUCUGGGACGGUACUGGACGCUGAGA